rnacentral:rRNA from 1 species
CUCUGUGAACUCCUACGGGAGGCAGCAGUGGGGAAUAUUGCACAAUGGGGGGAAACCCUGAUGCAGCCAUGCCGCGUGUGUGAAGAAGGCCUUCGGGUUGUAAAGCACUUUCAGUAGGGAGGAAGGUAGUGUAGUUAACACCUGCAUUAUUUGACGUUACCUACAGAAGAAGCACCGGCUAACUCCGUGCCAGCAGCCGCGGUAAUACGGAGGGUGCGAGCGUUAAUCGGAAUUACUGGGCGUAAAGCGCAUGCAGGCGGCCUGUUAAGUCAGAUGUGAAAGACCCGGGGCUUAACCUCGGAAUUGCAUUUGAAACUGGCAGGCUAGAGUCUUGUAGAGGGGGUAGAAUUUCAGGUGUAGCGGUGAAAUGCGUAGAGAUCUGAAGGAAUACCAGUGGCGAAGGCGGCCCCCUGGACAAAGACUGACGCUCAGAUGCGAAAGCGUGGGGAGCAAACAGGAUUAGAUACCCUGGAG